rnacentral:rRNA from 1 species
CACUAAGCGGAGGAAAAGAAACUAACCAGGAUUCCCUUAGUAACGGCGAGUGAACAGGGAAAAGCCCAGCACCGAAGCCUGUGGUCGUUUGGCCCCUAGGCAAUGUGGUGUUCAGGUUAGCUCGCGAAGAUGCUGCUCCACCCUAAGUCCUAUAAUGAGUAAGGUUACUCGGACAUGGCCCAAUGACGGUGAAAGGCCCGUGGG